CCCUCUCCCCGUAAGGACGGGGAGAGGGGGGCGCCAGCGCUGGUGCUUCCCCCUUCUCCCCGUUCUUUACGGGGAGAAGG
rnacentral:sRNA from 1 species